UACGUAGGUGGCAAGCGUUAUCCGGAUUUAUUGGGUGUAAAGGGCGUGUAGGCGGGAAUGCAAGUCAGAUGUGAAAACUCAGGGCUCAACCCUGAGCCUGCAUUUGAAACUGUGUUUCUUGAGUGCUGGAGAGGCAAUCGGAAUUCCGUGUGUAGCGGUGAAAUGCGGAGAUAUACGGAGGAACACCAGUGGCGAAGGCGGAUUGCUGGACAGUAACUGACGCUAAGGCGCGAAAGCGUGGGGAGCAAACAGG
rnacentral:rRNA from 1 species